UACGUAGGGUGCAAGCGUUGUCCGGAAUUAUUGGGCGUAAAGAGCUCGUAGGCGGCUUGUCACGUCGCUGUGAAAACCUGGGGCUCAACCCCGGGCCUGCAGCCGAUACGGGCAAGCUAGAAUUCGGUAGGGGAGACUGGAAUUCCUGGUGUAGCGGUGAAAUGCGCAGAUAUCAGGAAGAACACCCGUGGCGAAGGCGGCUCUCUGGGACGGUACUGACGCUGAGACGCGAAAAGCGUGGGGAGCGAACAGG
rnacentral:rRNA from 1 species